ACUUAAAUAGUUUAAAUAAAACUUUGAUUUGUGGUGUCGAGGAUAUGGAUGAAAAUUCAUUUUAGGUC
rnacentral:tRNA from 2 species